rnacentral:ncRNA from 1 species
AUCGAGUCCCUGAAUGGGUCGCCCCGAGAUAGGGAUGGUGCUCGUAGAGCAGUGCGGUCUGCGCUGUCCGGUGCGCUCGCGUCGGCCCUUGAAAAUCCGAGUGAGGGAGUGUGAUUUUCGUGCCGGACCGUACCCACAUCCGCAGCAGGUCUCCAAGGUGAACAGCCUCUAGUCGAUGGACCAAUGUAGGUAAGGGAAGUCGGCAAAACGGAUCCGUAACCUUGGGAUAAGGAUUGGCUCUGAGGACUGAGCCGGUCGGGCUGGGGACCUGAAGCAGGAACGGCACUGCACCGGGACUGGGCGGGGCUCGCCGUUCACGCGGCGCGGCCAAGCCCGGACCAGCGUCGGGACCUUCCUGUGGAAAGCCUCAGCUGCGCGGCGUCUGAGGGCUUCGUGCCCAAAGUGCUAUGCUUCGGCCGGCAAAAAACAGUCAACUCAGAACUGGCACGGACCGGGGGAAUCCGACUGUCUAAUUAAAACAAAGCAUUGCGAUGGCCGCUGGUCGGUGUUGACGCAAUGUGAUUUCUGCCCAGUGCUCUGAAUGUCAACGUGAAGAGAUUCAUCAAAGCGCGGGUAAACGGCGGGAGUAACUAUGACUCUCUUGUGGUAGCCAAAUGCCUCGUCAUCUAAUUAGUGACGCGCAUGAAUGGAUUAACGAGAUUCCCACCUAAUGCCUGCUAUACCUUUGUGGUGCGGGCAGAGGAGCAAUUUUAUUUUUAUUUUUUUUGACUUAAUUUCCCUUUUCUUUUAAGUCUCCUCUAUAUAUUUUGUCCCUAUCUACUAUCUAGCGAAACCACAGCCAAGGGAACGGGCUUGGAAAAAUCAGCGGGGAAAGAAGACCCUGUUGAGCUUGACUCUAGUCUGACUCUGUGAAGAGACAUGAGAGGUGUAGCAUAAGUGGGAGGCCGUGAACCCUCGCGGUUGUGUCGUGCCGUCAGUGAAAUACCACUACUUUCAUCGUUUCUUUACUUACUCGGUGAAGCGGAAAGCGGACCAUGAGUGUCCACGCUUCUAGCACUAAGUGCAAGCCCUUCGUUGGCCCGCACGAUCUGUUCCGAGGACAGUGUC